AAAUGAAUUGACGGGGACCCGCACAAGCAGCGGAGCAUGUGGUUUAAUUCGAAGCAACGCGAAAAACCUUACCAAGACUUGACAUCGUGUGACGACGGCAGAAAUGUCGUUUCCCGCAAGGGCACAUAGACAGGUGGUGCAUGGUUGUCGUCAGCUCGUGUCGUGAGAUGUUGGGUUAAGUCCCGCAACGAGCGCAACCCUUAUCAUUAGUUGCCAAUAUUUAGUUAGGAACUCUAGUGAGACUGCCGUAGAUAAUACGGAGGAAGGUGGGGAUGACGUCAAAUCAUCACGCCCCUCACGUCUUGGGCUACACACGUGCUACAAUGGCCAUUACAAAGGGCAGCAAAACCGUAAGGUUAAGCGAAUCCCAUAAAGAUGGUCUCAGUUCAGAUUGUGGGCUGCAACCCGCCCACAUGAAGUCGGAGUUGCUAGUAAUCCCGAAUCAGCACGUCGGGGUGAAUGCGUUCCCGGGUCUUGUACACACCGCCCGU
rnacentral:rRNA from 1 species